rnacentral:rRNA from 1 species
UAGUCAUAUGCUUGUCUCAAAGAUUAAGCCAUGCAUGUCUAAGUAUAAGCAAUUAUACAGCGAAACUGCGAAUGGCUCAUUAUAUAAGUUAUCGUUUAUUUGAUAGUACCUUACUACUUGGAUAACCGUGGUAAUUCUAGAGCUAAUACAUGCUAAAAAUCCCGACUUCGGAAGGGAUGUAUUUAUUAGAUUAAAAACCAAUGCCCUCUGGGCUCCUUGGUGAUUCAUAAUAACUUUUCGAAUCGCAUGGCCUUGCGCCGGCGAUGGUUCAUUCAAAUUUCUUCCCUAUCAACUUUCGAUGUUUGGGUAUUGGCCAAACAUGGUCGCAACGGGUAACGGAGGGUUAGGGCUCGACCCCGGAGAAGGAGCCUGAGAAACGGCUACUACAUCCAAGGAAGGCAGCAGGCGCGCAAAUUACCCAAUCCCGAUUCGGGGAGUAGGACAAUAAAUACUGAUACAGGGCUCUUUUGGGUCUUGUAAUUGGAAUGAGUACAAUUUAAAUCCCUUAACGAGGAACAAUAGGAGGAUUCCAGCUCCAAUAGCGUAUAUUAAAGUUGUUGUGGUUAAAAAGCUCGUAGUUGAACCUUGGGCCUGGCUGGCCGGUCCGCCUCACCGCGUGUACUGGUCCGGCCGGGCCUUUCCCUCUGUGGAACCUCAUGCCCUUCACUGGGUGUGGCGGGGAAACAGGACUUUUACUUUGAAAAAAUUAGAGUGCUCCAGGCAGGCCUAUGCUCGAAUACAUUAGCAUGGAAUAAUGAAAUAGGACGUGUGGUUCUAUUUUGUUGGUUUCUAGGACCGCCGUAAUGAUUAAUAGGGACAGUCGGGGGCAUCAGUAUUCAAUUGUCAGAGGUGAAAUUCUUGGAUUUAUUGAAGACUAACUACUGCGAAAGCAUUUGCCAAGGAUGUUUUCAUUAAUCAGGAACGAAAGUUAGGGGAUCGAAGACGAUCAGAUACCGUCGUAGUCUUAACCAUAAACUAUGCCGACUAGGGAUCGGACGAUGUUAUUUUUUGACGCGUUCGGCACCUUACGAGAAAUCAAAGUGCUUGGGCUCC